rnacentral:rRNA from 1 species
AAAGGUUGACCUCGGAUCAG